rnacentral:rRNA from 1 species
UACAGAGGGUGCAAGCGUUAAUCGGAAUUACUGGGCGUAAAGCGUGCGUAGUCGGUUAUCUAAGUCGGGUGUGAAAUCCCCGGGCUCAACCUGGGAAUUGCAUUCGAUACUGGAUAGCUAGAGUUCGGCAGAGGGAAGCGGAAUUUCGGGUGUAGCGGUGAAAUGCGUAGAUAUCCGAAGGAACAUCAGUGGCGAAAGCGGCUUCCUGGACCAGCACUGACGAUCAGGCACGAAAGCGUGGGGAGCAAACAGG